rnacentral:lncRNA from 1 species
CUGGGUGUUGCUGUGCGUGUGUUCUCAUGCACCUCCCUUCUGUGCCACAACAUAAGUGGAAAAUAUCUCCGCCUGAGUGCCUGGCCCCCCUUCUGCAUUGUUUCGGGGUCUUUGCAGCAGCACAGGGGCUUCUAGCCUCUUCCUGUAAUUUUGCAGAAGGUAGGUGCAGGAGUGGGGAGCCCUCACAUCAAAGGCUGCCUUCCAGGACUGCUGGCUCAGGGAAGGGAGGAGGGUGACCCUGGUGCAGA